UACGGAGGGGGCUAGCGUUGCUCGGAAUUACUGGGCGUAAAGGGCGCGUAGGCGGAUAGUCAAGUCAGUGGUGAAAGCCCAGGGCUCAACCUUGGAAUUGCCUUUGAUACUGGCUGUCUUGAGUAUGGAAGAGGUGAGUGGAAUUCCGAGUGUAGAGGUGAAAUUCGUAGAUAUUCGGAGGAACACCAGUGGCGAAGGCGGCUCACUGGUCCAUUACUGACGCUGAGGUGCGAAAGCGUGGGGAGCAAACAGG
rnacentral:rRNA from 1 species